rnacentral:rRNA from 1 species
CAGUCGCCACGGGAAUACAGAGGUCUCAAGCGUUGUUCGGAUUCAUUGGGCAUAAAGGGAGCGUAGGCGGUCGGGUAAGUCGGAUGUGAAAUCCUGGGGCUCAACCUCAGAACUGCAUUCGAUACUGCUUGGCUAGAGGACUGGAGAGGUGAGUGGAAUUCACGGUGUAGCAGUGAAAUGCGUAGAUAUCGUGAGGAAGACCAGCGGCGAAGGCGGCUCACUGGACAGUUUCUGACGCUGAUGCUCGAAGGCCAGGGGAGCAAACGGGAUUAGAUACCCCCGUAGUCCCUGUCUCUUAUAC